GUGGGGAAUAUUGGACAAUGGGCGAAAGCCUGAUCCAGCCAUGCCGCGUGUGUGAAGAAGGUCUUCGGAUUGUAAAGCACUUUAAGUUGGGAGGAAGGGCAGUAAGUUAAUACCUUGCUGUUUUGACGUUACCGACAGAAUAAGCACCGGCUAACUUCGUGCCAGCAGCCGCGGUAAUACGAAGGGUGCAAGCGUUAAUCGGAAUUACUGGGCGUAAAGCGCGCGUAGGUGGUUCGUUAAGUUGGAAGUGAAAUCCCCGGGCUCAACCUGGGAACUGCUUUCAAAACUGCUGAGCUAGAGUACGGUAGAGGGUAGUGGAAUUUCCUGUGUAGCGGUGAAAUGCGUAGAUAUAGGAAGGAACACCAGUGGCGAAGGCGACUACCUGGACUGAUACUGACACUGAGGUGCGAAAGCGUGGGGAGCAAACAGGAUUAGAUACCCGAGUAGUCC
rnacentral:rRNA from 1 species